AGAGUUUGAUCCUGGCUCAGGAUGAACGCUAGCGGUGUGCUUAAUGCAUGCAAGUCGAACGGGAUCCUUUAGAUUCGUCUUAAGGUGAGAGUGGCGGACGGGUGAGUAACGCGUUGGUGACCUGCCCUAGAGAGGGGGACAACCGGUGGAAACGCCGGCUAAUACCCCAGAUGUCAAGGUAUUUAGAAAGCCUUGACUAAAGCUCCGGCGCUCUAGGAGGGGCCUGCGUUCCAUCAGCUUGUUGGUAAGGUAAUGGCUUACCAAGGCUAAGACGGAUAGGGGACGUGAGAGCGUGACCCCCCACACUGGUACUGAAACACGGACCAGAUACCUACGGGUAGCAGCAGCAAGGAAUAUUGCCCAAUGGACGAAAGUCUGAGGCAGCAACACCGCGUGGAGGACGAAAGCCUUCGGGUUGUAAACUCCUUUUCUGGGGGAAGAGAACGGACGGUACCCCAGGAAUAAGGCCCGGCUAACUACGUGCCAGCAGCCGCGGUAAAACGUAGGGGUCGAGCGUUAUCCGGAUUUACUGGGCGUAAAGAGCAUGUAGGCGGUUGCUUAAGUCGGACGUGAAAGCUCCUGGCUCAACUAGGAGAGGCCGUUCGAAACUAGGUAUCUCGAGGAUGGUAGAGGAUAGUGGAAUUCCCGGUGUAGUGGUGAAAUGCUUAGAUAUCGGGAGGAACACCAGUGGCGAAGGCGGCUAUCUGGGCCAUUCCUGACGCUGAGAUGCGAAAGCUAGGGGAGAGAACGGGAUUAGAAACCCCGGUAUUCCUAGCCGUAAACGAUGUCAACUAGGUGUAGGGGGUAUUGACCCCUCCUGUACUCAAGCUAACGCGAUAAGUUGACCGCCUGGGGACUACGGCCGCAAGGCUAAAACUCAAAGGAAUUGACGGGGACCCGCACAAGCAGCGGAGCGUGUGGUUUAAUUCGAGGCUACGCGAAGAACCUUACCAGGGUUUGACAUAAUGGUGGUAGGGAUCCGAAAGGUGACCGACCCUUCGGGGAGCCAUUACAGGUGCUGCAUGGCUGUCGUCAGCUCGUGCCGUGAGGUGUUAGGUUAAGUCCUGUAACGAGCGCAACCCACGUCGUUAGUUAUAUGUGUCUAACGAGACUGCCGGUGAUAAACCGGAGGAAGGUGUGGAUGACGUCAAGUCAGCAUGGCCUUUAUAUCCUGGGCUACACACACGCUACAAUGGCCGGUACAAUAGGUUGCGAAACCGCGAGGUGAAGCCAAUCCUCUAAAGCCGGUCUCAGUUCGGAUUGUAGGCUGCAACUCGCCUGCAUGAAGUCGGAGUUGCUAGUAAACGUGCGUCAGCACAGCGCGUUGAAUACGUUCCCGGGUCUUGUACACACCGCCCGUCACGUCAUGGAAGUUGGCAACGCCUGAAGUCGGUGGGCUAACCCUAACGGGAAGCAGCCGCCCAAGGCGGGGUCGGUAACUGGGACGAAGUCGUAACAAGGUA
rnacentral:rRNA from 1 species